rnacentral:rRNA from 1 species
AACGAACGCUGGCGGCAUGCCUAACACAUGCAAGUCGAACGAGACCUUCGGGUCUAGUGGCGCACGGGUGCGUUACGCGUGGGAACCUGCCCUUAGGUUCGGAAUAACUCCCCGAAAGGGGUGCUAAUACCGGAUAAUGUCUUCGGACCAAAGAUUUAUCGCCUUUGGAUUGGUCCGCGUUGGAUUAGCUAGUUGGUAGGGUAAAAGCCUACCAAGGCUACGAUCCAUAGCUGGUCUGAGAGGAUGAUCAGCAACCCUGGGACUGAGGCCCGGCCCAGACUCUUACGGGAGGCAGCAGUGGGGAAUAUUGGACAAUGGGCGAAAGAAUGAUCCAGCAAUGCCGCGUGAGUGAUGAAGGACUUAGGGUUGUAUAGCUCUUUUACACGGGAUGAUAAUGACAGUACCGGGAGAAUAAGCGCCGGCUAACUACGUG